ensembl:snoRNA SNORA73 Small nucleolar RNA SNORA73 family
CCAACACGGAUACCGCAGGAGGUCACUCUCCCUGGGCUCUGUCCAGGUGGCCUAGGGGAGCAUAGGGAUCCGCCCCAUGAUGUGCGAUCCCUUUUCAUGAUGCUGGAGAAGCUGGGCCUCGUGCCUGCACCUGCAUAUUCCUACAACUUGUCAGAGUCCUUCGGGCAAUGGCUGAGGAGAUAAACCAUGCAGGAAACAAUG